AGGCGGGUAGCUCAGUCGGCAGAGCGCCCGGAAAUACACCCGGGAGGUCGCGUGGUUCAAAUCCCGCCCCGCCUA
rnacentral:tRNA from 1 species